AGAGUUUGAUCCUGGCUCAGGAUGAACGCUAGCGGGAGGCUUAACACAUGCAAGUCGAGGGGUAACAGGGGAGCUUGCUUCUGCUGACGACCGGCGAACGGGUGCGUAACGCGUAUGCAACCUACCUUAUACAGGAGGAUAGCCCGAAGAAAUUCGGAUUAAUACUCCAUUGUACAAUUUUAUCGCAUGGUAAGAUUGUUAAAGCUUUGGCGGUAUAAGAUGGGCAUGCGUGACAUUAGCUAGUUGGUAAGGUAACGGCUUACCAAGGCUACGAUGUCUAGGGGUUCUGAGAGGAUUAUCCCCCACACUGGUACUGAGACACGGACCAGACUCCUACGGGAGGCAGCAGUGAGGAAUAUUGGUCAAUGGGCGCAAGCCUGAACCAGCCAUCCCGCGUGCAGGAUGACGGCCCUAUGGGUUGUAAACUGCUUUUGUAUACCAAGAAAUAUAGCUACGUGUAGUUAUUUGACGGUAGUAUAUGAAUAAGCACCGGCUAACUCCGUGCCAGCAGCCGCGGUAAUACGGAGGGUGCAAGCGUUAUCCGGAUUUAUUGGGUUUAAAGGGUGCGUAGGCGGGUCUAUAAGUCAGUGGUGAAAGUUUGCGGCUCGACCGUAAAAUUGCCAUUGAUACUGUAGGUCUUGAGUACAGUUGAGGUAGGCGGAAUGUGUAAUGUAGCGGUGAAAUGCAUAGAUAUUACACAGAACACCGAUUGCGAAGGCAGCUUACUGGACUGUUACUGACGCUGAUGCACGAAAGCGUGGGGAGCGAACGGGAUUAGAUACCCUGGUAGUCCACGCCGUAAACGAUGAUAACUCGCUGUUGGCGAUAUAUAGUCAGUGGCUAAGGGAAACCGAUAAGUUAUCCACCUGGGGAGUACGCUCGCAAGAGUGAAACUCAAAGGAAUUGACGGGGGCCCGCACGAGCGGAGGAACAUGUGGUUUAAUUCGAUGAUACGCGAGGAACCUUACCUGGCUUAAAUGUAGAGUGCAUGAAGUGGAAACAUUUCUUUUCUUCGGAACUCUUUACAAGGUGCUGCAUGGUUGUCGUCAGCUCGUGCCGUGAGGUGUCGGGUUAAGUCCCAUAACGAGCGCAACCCCUAUCGUUAGUUGCUAGCAGGUCAUGCUGAGGACUCUAACGAGACUGCCGGUGUAAACCGAGAGGAAGGUGGGGAUGACGUCAAAUCAGCACGGCCCUUACGUCCAGGGCUACACACGUGUUACAAUGGUCGGUACAGAGGGCAGCUACUAGGUGACUAGAUGCUAAUCUCGAAAGCCGAUCUCAGUUCGGAUCGGAGUCUGCAACUCGAUUCCGUGAAGUUGGAUUCGCUAGUAAUCGCAUAUCAGCCAUGAUGCGGUGAAUACGUUCCCGGGCCUUGUACACACCGCCCGUCAAGCCAUGGGAGCCGAGGGUGCCUGAAGUUCGUAACCGCAAGGAGCGACCUAGGGUAAAACUGGUGACUGGGGCUAAGUCGUAACAAGGUA
rnacentral:rRNA from 1 species